CUGUAGGUGGUCAUGAACUCAGUCUAACUACAGGCAAUGCUGGUGGAAGAUUAGCUUGUGGUGUUGUCGGUUUGACUCCCAUAUAAGUGAGCUAGCUUGGACCUAAAGAUCACAUCGGUGAACACUUGUGGUGUUUAAAGUUUGAUAUGGAGUUGAAUGGAGAGGAUGUCCAAUUGGAAGAGCAACUGAUUGUUGUCUUGUGAAGAUGCAGCUAAAUGCUGUAUGAACGAAUUUGCAUACUAUUUGUUUAUGCUUAAAUGAAGUGAAUAAAUUUCAAUGCUUGGACUUAGAUUUGUGGAUAUUUUUCUGAACUCUCAGUAUUGUUCUUCCUGAAUGACCUCGGUUAGCAUUUUGGCUUUACUAGCGCA